UACGGAGGGGGCUAGCGUUGUUCGGAAUUACUGGGCGUAAAGCGCACGUAGGCGGCUUUGUAAGUUAGAGGUGAAAGCCCAGGGCUCAACCCUGGAAUUGCCUUUAAGACUGCAUCGCUUGAACAUCGGAGAGGUAAGUGGAAUUCCGAGUGUAGAGGUGAAAUUCGUAGAUAUUCGGAAGAACACCAGUGGCGAAGGCGGCUCACUGGCCCGGUACUGACGCUGAGACGCGAAAGCGUGGGGGAGCGAACAGG
rnacentral:rRNA from 1 species